GGUUGACCUCGGAUCAGGUAGGGAUACCCGCUGAACUUAAGCAUAUCAAUAAGCGGAGGAAAAGAAACCAACAGGGAUUGCUCUAGUAACGGCGAGUGAAGCAGCAAUAGCUCAAAUUUGAAAUCUGGCGUCUUCGGCGUCCGAGUUGUAAUUUGUAGAGGAUGCUUCUGGGCAGCCACCGACCUAAGUUCCUUGGAACAGGACGUCAUAGAGGGUGAGAAUCCCGUAUGCGGUCGGAAAGGCACCCUACACGUAGCUCCUUCGACGAGUCGAGUUGUUUGGGAAUGCAGCUCUAAAUGGGAGGUAAAUUUCUUCUAAAGCUAAACAUUGGCCAGAGACCGAUAGCGCACAAGUAGAGUGAUCGAAAGAUGAAAAGCACUUUGGAAAGAGAGUUAAAAAGCGCGUGAAAUUGUUGAAAGGGAAGGGAUUGCAACCAGACUUGCUCGCGGUGUUCCGCCGGUCUUCUGACCGGUCUACUCGCCGCGUUGCAGGCCAGCAUCGUCUGGUGCCGCUGGAUAAGACUUGAGGAAUGUAGCUCCCUCGGGAGUGUUAUAGCCUCUUGUGAUGCAGCGAGCGCCGGGCGAGGUCCGCGCUUCGGCUAGGAUGCUGGCGUAAUGGUUGUAAUCCGCCCGUCUUGAAACACGGACCAAGGAGUCUAA
rnacentral:rRNA from 1 species